GUUCAAAUACGGACAAAGGAGAUGCAUUUGCAAGCUGAAUUUGGGUUUGCAGCUCACUGGAGAUACAAGGAAGGUGACUGCAAACACUCAUCG
rnacentral:sRNA from 1 species